rnacentral:tRNA from 1 species
UAAGACUUGUGAUAUUCUAAAACACAUCUUCUGAAUGCAACCCAGAUACUUUAAUUAAGCUAAAGCCUC